rnacentral:rRNA from 1 species
GCUACCUUACAUAGCGGCGGACGGGUGAGUAAUGCUUAGGAAUCUGCCUAUUAGUGGGGGACAACAUUCCGAAAGGAAUGCUAAUACCGCAUACGCCCUACGGGGGAAAGCAGGGGAUCUUCGGACCUUGCGCUAAUAGAUGAGCCUAAGUCAGAUUAGCUAGUUGGUGGGGUAAAGGCCUACCAAGGCGACGAUCUGUAGCGGGUCUGAGAGGAUGAUCCGCCACACUGGGACUGAGACACGGCCCAGACUCCUACGGGAGGCAGCAGUGGGGAAUAUUGGACAAUGGGCGAAAGCCUGAUCCAGCCAUGCCGCGUGUGUGAAGAAGGCCUUUUGGUUGUAAAGCACUUUAAGCGAGGAGGAGGCUACUUGGAUUAAUACUCUAGGAUAGUGGACGUUACUCGCAGAAUAAGCACCGGCUAACUCUGUGCCAGCAGCCGCGGUAAUACAGAGGGUGCGAGCGUUAAUCGGAUUUACUGGGCGUAAAGCGUGCGUAGGCGGCUUUUUAAGUCGGAUGUGAAAUCCCUGAACUUAGGAAUUGCAUUCGAUACUGGGAAGCUAGAGUAUGGGAGAGGAUGGUAGAAUUCCAGGUGUAGCGGUGAAAUGCGUAGAGAUCUGGAGGAAUACCGAUGGCGAAGGCAGCCAUCUGGCCUAAUACUGACGCUGAGGUACGAAAGCAUGGGGAGCAAACAGGAUUAGAUACCCUGGUAGUCCAUGCCGUAAACGAUGUCUACUAGCCGUUGGGGCCUUUGAGGCUUUAGUGCGCAGCUAACGCGAUAAGUAGACCGCCUGGAGGAGUACGGUCGCAAGACUAAAACUCAAAUGAAUUGACGGGGGCCCGCACAAGCAGUGGAGCAUGUGUUUAUUUCGAUGCAACGCGAAAACCUUACCUGUCUUGACAUAGUAAGAACUUUCCAGAAGAUGGAUUGGUGCCUUCGGAACUUAACAUACAGUGCCUGCAUGGCUGUCGUCAGCUCC